GGGGCUGGCUGCUGGCUGCAGGGACCAGAAAGUCUGAGUGUAACAGCCUGGCUGCCUUUUUAGAGAAGCCUUUAGAGAAGGCUUCUGAGCCACAGAUUCUGACUUUGCAUUCUGAGUGCUCCUACCCACCAGGAACAGCAUAAGGGAGAAAAGGGGGAAAAGAAGGAGAAUAAUGCAUCAAGAAACUGUUGAAGGUCCAAGGUUGAAUUUCUUGAACUCAGGAACUCUUGAAGUUGGACAUACCCACAAAACAACUCUCAAAGGCUCAGGAAACAUUCCUUUUCUGUUAGAAGGCAGGAUUUAUGCCUAAGGAAUUCGAAAUCCCAUUUCCACUCUCUACUCCACACACAGAAGGUUGGGAUUCAGGAAUAGGGUAUCCUUGAAUUGUCUUGCGGGUAUAAGCAAGCACAUGUCUCCUGAAGCUUUGUGCUUCUCCUCAAAGUAGAUCCUGAUUCUGCUGGCAUUGAUAAAGAAUCUCUCUCCAACUUGUUGCAUUUUGGAAUAAGAAAGGAAAAUCAUGAAAAGCUAGUCUUCAGAGACUACAACCUAGAGGAUACUUACCAGUUUGCUUUUAUGCCUUUGGGAAUGUUGGCUAAUCUUCAAAUUAUCUAAUCACUGGGAAUUCUUAAAAUUCUUGUUUCUUUCCUUCAAUUGAUGGCCCACUCAGGUAGUCUCAUCACUUUGACUGUUGAGCUCUUAAAUUUGACUAACACUAAAAACGAUCUAGUCUCAUCAAGUUGUUUGAGAGGGCUCCUCAAUUUAAUCACAGGAACUUCCCUCUUCCAUUCCAUUGACUCCUCUAGAUAGAAAAGAAGGCUGUGAAAUUUAACUUUGAUAAAAGAUAGUAUCUACUUUGUUCAUUAUUUUAACCUUCAAUUUCAAUGUUUUUAAAAAAUGGUUUCCUUUAUAUAUUUACAAUUGUAAAAUGCCCAGGAUUUAUACAUUUUCUUAAUAAGGCUGUUAAUCCCUUGACUAAAUUAAAUCUUUAGAAAAGUAUAGCCAGGACAAGGUUAAUUAUAUGCUCUUUGAUUUGGCCUAUAAAGAAUGAUUGAAGAAGGCUAGAGAUUAUUGAAAACCUAAAGAUAACCAGAGUUAAAAAGAAUAGAGCUUCAGGAAGUUUUGGAUUCAUUCUCCCAGAUGAUAUGCUAAUGUGAUUGUGGAAUAGUGAGAAAUUUUGGGUUAGGAAAAUAAUCAGAAAACAAUGAAAUAGAGUAAAGAAGUCUUUGAGCUCAACUUCCUCAGUCCAAAGGAGGAAUUUCCUGAACAAUGUCAAGGAAUUCUUGGACCAAGCAAGGAACUCUUGGACAACACAGGAUCUGAGGAACAUGGAAUUCCACCUUUUUUUUUUUCUAUGAAGUAUUUAUGGUUAUGAUCCCCAACUAGGGAAAUGUAAGACUGAGAAAGAGAAUUAUAAACCAUUAUCAUUGAUGAAUAGUGAAAUAUAAAUGUAUAAUACAAGGCUAUGUGUGUGCCUUAUAUAUGUAAUAUAUAUCACUGUAUGUUAUAUAGUUAGUACUAUUACUAUAUAUUAU
rnacentral:lncRNA from 1 species